UGCAUGAAAAAUUAGAUGAAGAUUUGAUUUACCGUGAGAAAGAAAAAUAGUGGGACGUUCUCUUUUGUGCGUGGGUAUCCGAGAGAAAAAUAAAAAGGGAGGCACUAACCCUUGGCAUUCCAUGUCUUUGGUUUUCAUCCUCUUAGGUGUUGGGUUCAAGGAGAGAGACAAAAGAAAAGAGAAAGCAUUCUCCAGACUUUAAUCUUUCCUUCAUCUUUCUCCUGUUCCUCUUUAGAGAUCUAAAGAAGCAAGCAGAAUCAACCAUCAAGAAGCAACUUUUGCAAGAGAACUAGCACUCUGGUGAAGUCAGGAGCCUCUGAUCGGAUCGAAGACUUUAUAUGGAUAUUCGUAGAGAUUAGAUGCAUGUGUGGCUUGUCGAGGACCUCAUCAGAUUACUAUGAUCGAUUAUCAGAUUGCGGUGAAAGGCUAUCCAUGCAAAGGUCGACAAGUGCUGGAUGAAAAGAGGAGUAGGAUGAUCGAUGAAAUAAUUGAGAUGCUGUUCUGUUUCAAAGAUUGAUUUGAUGCCAAGGCAAAACUUUAAGAUAAAGGUAGAUAUAAUAUAACAUUUGAUGAUGAUGAUGAUAUAAAUACUACUAACGAUUAGUAAGAUUUUUAAUUAUUAAUUUUUCAUAUUUAUAACUUUUUAGAUUUA